rnacentral:rRNA from 1 species
AGGCAACACUAUCAAAUUGCGGGAAGAUCCUGUCAAGUCCAUGUCACCGCGGCUCACCGAAAGGUGCAGCGCAGCACCGGAUUAACAACCCUGGGUAAGGUAACAGUCCAUGGAAUAGGGAGAAUCCGCAGCCAAGCCCCUACGACUUUGGGGGUGCAGUUCACAGGCCAAAUGGUAGUGGGCAUCUAACGGUGCUUAAGAUAUGGUCGAGUCCCAAUUGUAAAGUUGGGUACAAGUACUCUGAUUACUACAUGGUGUAGUAGCUUGUUAAAUGCAAAUGUUCCGUAGGUGAACCUGCGGAAGGAUCAUUAAUGAAUCACAAGUCGGCCGUUCUGUGCUGGUGGCAACACAUGUGCACGUCGGUCGCAAAUCCACACACCUGUGCACCUUUGACUUUGGGAUCCGCCUGUCUUUUGACUCGCAGCAGGUCGGCUUUGUGCCGUCCUGGGUCUCAGAGUACUUUUACACACUCUGAAUGUAAUGGAAUGUCUCUGUGCUUAACGCGCAUAUAAACAACUUUCAACAACGGAUCUCUUGGCUCUCGCAUCGAUGAAGAACGCAGCGAAAUGCGAUAAGUAUUGUGAAUUGCAGAAUUCAGUGAAUCAUCGAAUCUUUGAACGCACCUUGCACCCUUUGGUAUUCCGAGGGGUACACCCGUUUGAGUGUCAUUGUAACCUCACUCCGACAACUUUGUUGAUGUCUGGAGGUGGAUCUGGACCUUGCCGUGUCAUGAUGGCUGGUCUGAAAUGCAUGAGUGCACCCUGCUGUAGCAGCGUCUUCAGUGUGAUAAGUAUCUUCACUGAU